UGGCGGCCGCCCUGCUGCUGCCGCUGACGGCGCUCACCCUGUUCACGGCGCUGACCCGGGCCCCCGCCGGGGAGCGGCCCGGGA
rnacentral:tRNA from 1 species